rnacentral:rRNA from 1 species
AACACGACUCUCGGCAACGGAUACCUUGGCUCUCGCAUCGAUGAAGAACGUAGCGAAAUGCGAUACCUGGUGUGAAUUGCAAAAUCCCGCGAACCAUCGAGUCUUUGAACGCAAGUUGCGCCCGAGGCCACUCGGCCGAGGGCACGCCUGCCUGGGCGUCACGC